UACGUAGGGGGCAAGCGUUGUCCGGAUUUAUUGGGCGUAAAGAGCGUGUAGGCGGCCUGAAAGGUCAGCUGUGAAAACUCGAGGCUUAACCUCGAGACGUCGGUUGAAACCAUCUGGCUAGAGUCCGGAAGAGGACGAGUGGAAUUCCCGGUGUAGCGGUGAAAUGCGCAGAUAUCGGGAGGAACACCAAUGGCGAAGGCAGCUCGCUGGGACGUGACUGACGCUGAGACGCGAAAGCGUGGGGAGCAAACAGG
rnacentral:rRNA from 1 species